CUAGAAGGACAACCGACACCUUCUUCUUCAACUCUCCCACAACUCUCUCCUCCAACUUUUACAUCUUUCGUCAAUUCAAUCACCGAUUUCUUACAAGCUUAAAACAUCAAUUUAAUCAUCCUGAUCUGCAGUAAAACUAUAUCAAAUCACAAAAAAAAAGUUCCAAAUAAAUAAAGAUCUGCUUUGAUACAUCUCCGUAAUUUUCUUUCCUCUACCGACGCUGCUCAACAUCAACUAUGGUUUAAAAUUUUAUUACAAUUUUUUAUUAAAAAAAAGAAGAAGCUUACAGUUAAUUCCCGUCAGUUCCAUCGAAACCAGAAUUUUCAUUCACCGGUUCACGCCGUUUCAUCUCUCGGGCUCUCUCAGUCUCCUAUCAAUUCCCAUUCUUUCACCCAAAUACUUCUGUGUUUACUCUCCCCCAUUUUCCUCUCCAGUUGAAUGGCAACUUUGAUUAUUAUAUAGAUUUUAUCUCAUGUUUUUCAUCUCAUGAAUAAUUUGUUUUAUUAUUUGAUCUUCUUCAAUUAAACUCCCAGCGAAUAAAACGCUCACUUCUCUUCCUCUUUGAUCCACUGCAAACACUGGACCCAAUCACCAAAGGUGCCUGAUGCUGAAUGCAAUUUCAAUUUUAGAUUCAUUGAUUUUCCGAUAUCUUUCUCCACUGUGGAGUUCAACACAAUAAUGUUCAAGGAGGAGGAGAGAGAAGAAACAGAACAUCUUUAGGAGACAAUUAGAUAUGUAGCAACUUCAAGAGGGAGAUUAACUGUUGAUGUGGAUGGUAUUGUAAAACCUCAAGCAAUUAACCGUCCCCUCACUAGGAGAGUCUACGCGCAAUUACUUGCUGCAAGUGCACAAGGCCACAAGCAGAUGCCGAGAAAAAGAAGAUUGAUUUGCAGAAACAAGGACAACAAGUCCAUUAAUUCCUCUAAUUCUGAAGUUUCAGAUCAGGUGUUUUGAAUCAUGGCUGGCGGAGUGACAGAUACUAUUGUUCGAAGAAGAAGAGUGAUUGAAUUUAUGAUGAUAUUUGUAGUUGCUUACCACCUGGGUACUUCAAACAAAUCCACUGCUAAUUACGAACAAUAUGAGUUAAUCAUAUUUCAUUGUGCUCCUCAUAUUGGAAAUAUGGCGGAUUCUAUGGUCUAUUCCCAUUGCUUUAAGGUAUGAAUUGUCUCACUUUUCACAAUUGUUGGACCCUUCUUUUGGUUUAGUCUUGAAUUGUGACUUUUAAUUUCAUUGUUAGUUUUCGGGAAGUUUUGAACAUUGCAUGUUGAAAUUUGGUUCAAUGAACCAAGCUACCGUAUUUCUAUGGAAAUUAUGCCUGCAGUUAGCCAAUUUUGGAUAGUGGAACCUGUUUGAUUACCCAAAAACAAUGACUUUUUUUGAAGAGCUUGAGUUUGGAUAGCAAGGGAAGCUUUCUAACAUGUUAAACAUGUAGGUUUAGAGGAAUGAUAAUGCAUGUUGUGUGAUUAGUCUAUCAUAUACUUUCCAAGUAAUGGUAGGAAGAUAGAUUUCCAUAGUUGAAUAUUAUGGGUUUAUUUGUUUAUGAAGUCUUAUGACGAUUAUUAUUGAAUAUGACUUCAUUGAGUUAUUUCGUAAUAGUAUAGAUCAAAUAUUUUCUUAGGUUUAAUGUGAAGGGAAUUACAUAGAAGGCGUUCUUUGAUUGAAUUUUCUUAUGAACUUUUCAAACGUUUGCCAAAACAUGUUUGAUCUACAAUAGAAACUUAUUAGGGUGUUUACUAAGAACCUAAACCACCUCAUCAAUCGCCUGAAUUUCAUGUCUUUCAUACUUAUUUAUAACUCGAUUUUUGUUAAUUUGAUUUUCUUUUAUACAUUUAUUUGAGUUAUUAAAAAUUGUUCAAAUUUUAAGAUCUGGCAAUGGCAUCUCUUCGUUGGCGUUAAUGUUGGUUGCAAGUUUGCUGCGGAUGAUAAGGAGUAAUUAGAAUAAGAGAAAUGUACAGUAAAGUUGGGGUCUUCGUAUAAUUAACCAUUAGAAUUAAUGGUCACCAGAGAAUUAAGAUCAUAAAAGAUUAUAUUUGUGUUUUCUUUUGUGAGACAUGGAUGUGUUUGACUAAGGAAGCAGAGGGAUGGAAUAUGAAAAAUCUAGAGAUAAUAAUUUAUCAUUGUGUGUUUUAUUUUGGUUUUGUAAAAACGUAAAAACAAAAUGAAAAUUAGUUUUCAGUUUUGUAAAGACUUAAAACACAAAAUAGAACUUGGUACCGCACAGACCCUUAAUGAGUGAUUUGUUGAUGUCAAUUGAGCUUUUUUUCUUAUCAGUAAAGCAUAAGAUUUUUUGGGUUCAGAUUGUAUCUCAAUAUGGUAAAUUAGAUUGAGAUGUUGAAUUGGUGUUUGUCAACCCAAGAAGAUUAACAACUGGUUUAUCAACCAAAGGGUCAGGGCCAACUGCUACAACAGCUCUCAGUCUGCGAAUACUCUCAAGUCCACGCCCAAGAGAUUAAAGGGAAAAGAAUAAGAGUCGUCAACAUCAUAGCAAAUGAAUAGAUCCGUUAAUGUGGAAUGCAGGACAUCAACAAGACAAGGAUGGAUUUAUUUUUAUCUAAUGUUAGGUAUUGUAAUCACAUUAGAGUCUUUUAAAAAAUAUUUUUAGAUUGUCUAAUCUGUUUGAUUUUACCUAUUAUGUUAGGGAUAACUUUUAAAGAAUGUACUAUUAAAACUCUAAUUAUGUAUUGUACAUAAUUAAGCUUUCAUGUAACUAUUAGACAUAUUAAAGAAUUAUAGUCUUUCAUAGAGUUAAAAUUUUCCAAA